rnacentral:rRNA from 1 species
CCUUGUACACACCGCCCGUCACACCAUGGGGAGCGGGUUCUGCCAGAAGUAGUUAGCCUAACCGCAAGGAGGGCGAUUACCACGGCAGGGUUCGUGACUGGGGUG